GUCAGGAUGGCCGAGAGGUCUAAGGCGCUGCAUUCAGGUCGCAGUCCACUGCUGUGGGCGUGGGUUCGAAUCCCACUUCUGACU
rfam:Stegodyphus mimosarum contig98112, whole genome shotgun sequence.